UUAGAUGUCACUCUUGGGUCAAAACUUGAAAAUAUUAGAAAUGAAGACAGAUUAGCAUGGCCCCUGCGCAAGGAUGACACGCAAAUUUGUGAAGCGUUCCAUAUUUUU